rnacentral:SRP_RNA from 1 species
GGUCGGUCCCUCCGCGACGAAGGGUUGUGAACCCGGUCAGGUCCGGAAGGAAGCAGCCGCAGCAGCCCGCUCGGGUGUGGAGUGCGGCCGGCCGGA